CCUACGGGAGGCAGCAGUAGGGAAUCUUCCACAAUGGGCGAAAGCCUGAUGGAGCAACGCCGCGUGGGUGAAGAAGGUCUUCGGAUCGUAAAACCCUAUUGUUAGAGAAGAAAGUGCGUGAGCGUAACUGUUCACGUUUCGACGGUAUCUAACCAGAAAGCCACGGCUAACUACGUGCCAGCAGCCGCGGUAAUACGUAGGUUGCAAGCGUUAUCCGGAUUUAUUGGGCGUAAAGGGAACGCAGGCGGUCUUUUAAGCCUGAUGUGAAAGCUUUCGGCUUAACCGGCGUAGUGCAUUGGAAACGGGGAGACUUGAGUGCAGAAGAGGAGAGUGGAACUCCAUGUGUAGCGGUGAAAUGCGUAGAUAUAUGGAAGAACACCAGUGGCGAAAGCGGCUCUCUGGUCUGUAACUGACGCUGAGGUUCGAAAGCGUGGGUAGCAAACAGGAUUAGAUACCCCUGUAGGC
rnacentral:rRNA from 1 species